AUUGAACGCUGGCGGCAGGCCUAACACAUGCAAGUCGAACGAGUGGCGGACGGGUGAGUAAUGUCUGGGAAUCUGCCUGAUGGAGGGGGAUAACUACUGGAAACGGUAGCUAAUACCGCAUACUAUCAGAUGAGCCCAGAUGGGAUUAGCUAGUUGGUGGGGUAACGGCUCACCAAGGCGACGAUCCCUAGCUGGUCUGAGAGGAUGACCAGCCACACGGGAACUGAGACACGGCCCAGAAUCCUACGGGAGGCAGCAGUGGGGAAUAUUGCACAAUGGGCGCAAGCCUGAUGCAGCCAUGCCGCGUGUAUGAAGAAGGCCUUCGGGUUGUAAAGUACUUUCGGCGGGGAGGCGUUACCCGAAGAAGAAGCACCGGCUAACUCCGUGCCAGCAGCCGCGGUAAUUC
rnacentral:rRNA from 1 species